AGUCUGGCACAAUGAUAUCACCAGCCGGUACACAAGGACCCGACGGACCGAUGGGAGAGAUAAGGCCAUGACUCACUGCAAGCGGAGCUGCGUUUGCGGUCCGCAUAUCCAGAUGCGUGCUGCCUAGUGCUCGUCAAUACAUACCAGACAGUUUUCGUUCGAAGUUUCAUACCCUUUGGUCAGGGUGCACCAACUUCGAUGGCGAAGCCGCGCCUACACAACUGCACAGAUCAACAUUGGUGGUUUGAAGUUGAAGAUGGCGAGGUUUACGCUAACAUUGCUGGCAUUGUCAUUGACUAUCGUAUAGUUGUUGUGCAAGUAGACAAGUGGACCAAAGACGAUACAGUCGCAAUACAAGCUGGAAAACGCCAUCAUGACCAGGAUGCGGACGUGUACUUCGUCAAAGUCAAGAGAUCCCAUGUGGAUGAGAACCUUUUCUGCCACAAGUUUCGUGGAUGUGUGACGGCUGAUCAGUUUUGUGACAAGUAAUAUGAUCUGGACGCGUUUGGACCAUUCAGCAAGAUACACCCGCGAAAAGGAAAAACACUGGAGCUCACGAUCGUCGUGAAGGUAAUGUUGGGGCGGCAACAUCUUUGGUUGCUUCAACGUCCACCGCUACCACCUCCAAGUCAACACCGAAGGCUCCCAAGUCCACCUCGGUCCGAUCCAAGUCAACACCGACGGCUUCCAAAUCCAUCAACAGUGACGUCGACAGCGGGGACGGAUUUGAGCGUCAAAAGAGAACAACGCCCAUUCCAGACAAGGAACUGGUGAUUCGACUGUUCAUGGCGAGGAGACAUGUGACUGCGGAGGCGCUUGCAACUGUCACACUCCCACGUCAAACAAAGAGGAGAACUGUGAUCUUCCAGUGGGUCGCAUCAAAGAUGCCAUUUAAUCAAAACGUGCGUUCGCUGACGAUGUGCCGUCUUGAGUGCCGUUCAAAAGGAAUUGGAACCGUUUGCAUGGAC